UCCAGAGGUCCCGAGCGUUGUUCGGAUUCCUUGGGCGUAAAGGGUGCGUAGGUGGCGCUGUAAGUGGGGUGUGAAAUCCCGGGGCUUAACUCCGGAACUGCAUUCCAUACUGCGGUGCUUGAGGACUGGAGAGGAGACUGGAAUUUACGGUGUAGCAGUGAAAUGCGUAGAGAUCGUAAGGAAGACCAGUGGCGAAGGCGGGUCUCUGGACAGUUCCUGACACUGAGGCACGAAGGCCAGGGGAGCAAACGGG
rnacentral:rRNA from 1 species